GUAAUGUUUUGGCUCCAUUAUAGUUUUAUGAGAGCACCAUCACAUAUGCGGUUCGUUGCUGACCAAAACAUUGCCUCAUGCUGGAGAAGAGUAUCCGAGCAUAGUUGCUGCUUCGAGUCACUCCAGGGAGAUCUAAAAUUCCAGGUGUGACCUCACAAGGCAACUUGCAUUCUUAACUCUGUCUCAGCCCCUGAGAACCCUGAGCUUGUUGGAUAACCCAACCUGCAAAACACAGCUCACAGAUUUCUG
rnacentral:lncRNA from 1 species